UACGUAGGUGGCAAGCGUUGUCCGGAAUUAUUGGGCGUAAAGCGCGCGCAGGCGGUCCUUUAAGUCUGAUGUGAAAGCCCACGGCUUAACCGUGGAGGGUCAUUGGAAACUGGGGGACUUGAGUACAGAAGAGGAGAGUGGAAUUCCACGUGUAGCGGUGAAAUGCGUAGAGAUGUGGAGGAACACCAGUGGCGAAGGCGACUCUCUGGUCUGUAACUGACGCUGAGGCGCGAAAGCGUGGGGAGCAAACAGG
rnacentral:rRNA from 1 species